rnacentral:misc_RNA from 1 species
AGUAAAUGAUAAAUAAAAUAGUACAUCAUUAACAAAUGAUGACGAUUUGUUUGCAACAAAGUUCAAAUUUUUGCACACGAUAUUGUUUUCUAAAAAAUUGAAAUAUGACUGAAAAAGCCUUCGAUAGUGAUGGAAAACCAAUUGUGCUGUCUAGACCACUUGUAAAAAGGAUCUUAGCUAACGAUCCAAAGAGAUUUAGUGGAAAAUACAUGUUGAAAGAAAUGAUUGGAGAUAAUUUUGAUUGCGACGCUCAUUAUGAGCGCAAUAAAAAACAUGCGUAAGCAGUUGUAAAUUCUUCAAAUAUUAUUCCUGUUCCUUCCGAAUAUAAUGGAAAGCUAGAAAAUUUACGUAGCAGUGCUGCUACUUUCUACACCACUCCAAUUUCUUCUAUAUGACAAUCAGAGUGUGGCAAUUUCAUUUUGUUCCCUCCUGAUGAUGCCUACACUUUUACUACGAUUGAAAAGUUUCACACCAAGGACUGGUUUCCGAGGAUCAAUUUCAAAGAAUAUCGAGUGGCACAAAAUUCAACAUUCGAAAUCCAACAAAUUCGAAGCAAUUUAUGGGAGAUUGUAAGAAAAUACUAAUGCUUCAAGUUUUGAGUGAUUCUGAGGCGCCGAGCAAUAAAUCUAAAUAGUCGGAGAAACAAGCAACUAACACAUUCAAAAAGCUUCUAGUGAAAAGUGGAAUAAAAGCUGUUGACAGAAAAUUACCAUCUGCAAUCAACAUUUUUGACCAAGAUGCUCCUACCAGUCAAUCUCGAUCUUUGAAGCGCAAGUUUUUUGAUGAGGUGAUGUCCUCUGCUAACAAAUUAGAACCGAAGUAUAAGAAGCUGGCGAAGGGUAAUAAAUUGGCAGAAAAAGAUACCAAGGAUUCAAAAAAAUUGCUUGAGAAAACAGAAUUGAGAAAACAGCAGACCAUAAAAAUGAAAACUCCACCAGUAUCAGCGAAACAAAAAUUGGCUUCUGUUAUAUCUUACAAAUCAGACAAAGCGAUGAAACAAAUUAACUUAUUUCCGAAAGAAGAUGACGAAGCUGGUCCAAAAUUGCAAGCUUUUGUGGAUUCAAUUUCAGGAACACAUGGCAGUCAAAGGUUGUGUGACUCUGAUUUUGACAGUCCUCAACCUGGCAGUAUUCCAAGCAGCUCAGAUAUAGAAUUGACUAAUCAAGGGCAAAAAGUUCUUGAUGUUGUUGUUGAACAAAAUCUCCUACCACCACCAACCGCAAUUGCUUCACCAAUUUUUCAACAAGAAACCAGGGCCAGUAGACGCAAUGUCGGUUCUGCUGUAAUUAAUUAUGCAGAAACGAAAAGUGACAGUGGAUCUGAUUUUGCUCAACCGACUUCAUUCGAUUUUUCAAUUCCUCCACAACAACCAGCAAUUCUGAAACCUAUUGUACAUAAUAAGAGCAUAGUGACUGCUGUCCCUAAAACUCCAUCUCCAACUAGAUUAAUUGUUCCAACCUGAGGUUAUACCUCUGUUCCUGUUGUUGCCAUACCCCGGGACAAAGAAAUGUAAGAUCUAUUUUCAAUUAUGAGCACUCAAAAUAUGGUGACCAGCAGUUAAGUCAGCAAUUUUGAUCUCAAUAACACAUGCGCUUCGGUCAUCAAGUAUAUGAAUGAAAAUCCGUCUGGAAGUGGAAUUUUGUUAAAUCUGCUAACAACCGUCAAAGACAUUCAGGUUGACCAAAAACUAUUGAAAAAUCAAUUUCAGCUUUUGGUUUCAACUCUCAAUCGCGAUAGAAGUUUUUAACAAUCAAUGGGAACAGUGAUUUUUACUUCUCCAUGGCAAGCGAAAUUCAAAAAAUUUGCCAAUUACCUUUGUCAAAAAUUGGCGAUUUAUGCGUUGCCGAAGAAAUGUUCAAGAAUGCUGAUUAUGUCAGCUUCUUGUUAAUGAUUUUUGUUACGAAUUCGGUUGCUGGUGGCCCAGUGGGAAUGGUAGCUGGGUUUGUGUGGGAUAAAUUUUUUACCCCAAGCUUAUCCAGCCUCAUUGCCUGGGCCAGCAUUGAUGAAUGCAGGGAAGAUGGCUUCAAAGAAUUUGGUAGGAAAGAUGGGGAGAAGAAGAAAUUGCUGUUGUUUAAAUCACGUUUUCCGAGAUUGACCCAAAUGAUUUACCACAUCAUUCGGCGACGUGCAAUGCUGAGUGAAAAGAAACCACGGUCAACAUUCAAAAUGAAUGAAGAAAUUAAGAAAGCUAGGGCUGUCAGCGUCAGAAGAUAUACUACUGGAAUGUAUAUUACGGACUUUCAAGACUCCUCUUCAGCGUAUCCCGGCAGAUUGUGUUUGGCAAUGUUUUCUGAAGAUAUAGACCAGGGACCAGAACUUAAUCAAGCAGAUUUCAAAGAAGAUCAGAAAGUCCGAAGAAAUACGUGCUUCAUUUGCUCCAAUAGAAGUGCUAUUUGUCAAAUCGAAGCUGAAGGAUUUGCUGGUGACAAAUUGGGCUGAACAAGUCGAAAUAAAUCGAAGAAAUCUUCUGCAGCUGCUAAGAAAAAGGCGAAGAAAUUCGUGAAGAAAAAUAAUACAGUAGAAAAAACUGCUGGUGGAAGUUGUAGACGAUCAAAUCGAAGAGUCAAUGAGAAACCGAGGAGGGAGUUUUUGAAUUAUUGUUCGUUUGCUCAUCGCUUUCAACGUAUUGAAGAAAGAGCGAUGAAUAAUAUGUCUGAAGGAGUUUCAUUCUUGGAUUGUUCGGCGAUGACAAACCAAUUGAUUGAGGCACGUUCCUUGUACCAAGGGUACCUAUAAAUUCGAGCCUACCACGCGGAUGAUGACGAUAUUGGCGCGCCAGAAGACAAUUCACCUCCAGGUUGUGGCAAUAAACAAUCUGGUCAAAGUUCAACUAUUUCCAAGAAAAAGCGUCCACGAGCAUGUGGUGAUACUGACGAGAGUGAAACCGAAGGUGAUAACAGUGAUGCGAGCAAUAGCAGCAAUGACGAAGAAGAAAAGAGCGACAAAGGGACAGAAAGUGAUAAAGAUUUGGUGCUAUUCUCAGUUAGUCCGGUGCAAUUCUCAGAUAGCGAAGUUAGCGAAACUAGUGAAGAGGACGUAGUUGAGGAAGUUCAGGUAAUACCAAAACCAAAGGUAAAUUUUGAUUUUAAAUCAAUGCACUAAGAAAAAAAUUAGAGCUGUUGACAUUUUUUUUAAACAGAAGAAGAAGUCGAAGAAGAGGUCUGAACACCAUGGAGAAAGACAAACAUUUUAGUUCUUGAACAUAUUUUCUAUUUUGAAGUUUUUUUCUCUCAGUUUAUUAUAUUAUCAGCUUGAAUGGUAUUUAAACUAAUUGUUGCAGACUUCUAAGUCAUGAGAUGAAUAAUUUAGUUAAAGAUGCUGAAUAGUUAAUGAAUGAAGGUGCUGAUUUGCUGAGAAGAAAGUUACACAAGCGAAUUUUAAGGCUGUCAACUUUAUCGAAAAGGUGAUAGUUCAAUUUCAGCUUCGAUUAAUAAAGUUUUUGAUAAAGCUAUGUCUAUAUUCAAUCAUUGUUUAAUAAAGCAGGGAGAUAUGACAAAAGAUUAUUUUAAAAACAUUGUUGUACAAAGCAAAAACAAUGCUGUCACAUGUAACAAAAUUCGAUUCGGUGUCAGUUCGUUAAUGCGUUGAUAGGCGAUCAAGAGAGCUCCUUAAAAAAUAAAAUAUUUUAUAUCGUUUUUGUAUACUUUUUCAUUAAAAAUAAAUAUAAAAUUAUUAAA